rnacentral:SRP_RNA from 2 species
GCUGGGCAUGGUGGCGCGUGCCUGUAAUCCCAGCUACUCGGGAGGCUGAGGCAGGAGAAUUGCUUGAACCUGGGGAGGUGGAGAUUGCAGUGAGCCGAGAUUUCGCCAUUGCGCUUUCAGCCUGGGUGACAGAGUAGAACUCUGUCUCGG